rnacentral:rRNA from 1 species
AACGAACGCUGGCGGCAGGCUUAACACAUGCAAGUCGAGCGCCCCGCAAGGGGAGCGGCAGACGGGUGAGUAACGCGUGGGAAUCUACCCAUCUCUACGGAAUAACGCAUGGAAACGUGUGCUAAUACCGUAUACGUCCUUCGGGAGAAAGAUUUAUCGGAGAUGGAUGAGCCCGCGUUGGAUUAGCUAGUUGGUGGGGUAAAGGCCUACCAAGGCGACGAUCCAUAGCUGGUCUGAGAGGAUGAUCAGCCACACUGGGACUGAGACACGGCCCAGACUCCUACGGGAGGCAGCAGUGGGGAAUAUUGGAGAAUGGGCGCAAGCCUGAUCCAGCCAUGCCGCGUGAGUGAUGAAGGCCCUAGGGUUGUAGAGCUCUUUCACCGGUGAAGAUAAUGACGGUAACCGGAGAAGAAGCCCCGGCUAACUUCGUGCCAGCCGCCGCAGUAACAC